AUUGAACGCUGGCGGCAGGCCUAACACAUGCAAGUCGAGCGGAUGAAGGGAGCUUGCUCCUGGAUUCAGCGGCGGACGGGUGAGUAAUGCCUAGGAAUCUGCCUGGUAGUGGGGGAUAACGUCCGGAAACGGGCGCUAAUACCGCAUACGUCCUGAGGGAGAAAGUGGGGGAUCUUCGGACCUCGCGCUAUCAGAUGAGCCUAGGUCGGAUUAGCUAGUUGGUGGGGUAAAGGCCUACCAAGGCGACGAUCCGUAACUGGUCUGAGAGGAUGAUCAGUCACACUGGAACUGAGACACGGUCCAGACUCCUACGGGAGGCAGCAGUAGGGAAUAUUGGACAAUGGGCGAAAGCCUGAUCCAGCCAUGCCGCGUGUGUGAAGAAGGUCUUCGGAUUGUAAAGCACUUUAAGUUGGGAGGAAGGGCAGUAAGUUAAUACCUUGCUGUUUUGACGUUACCAACAGAAUAAGCACCGGCUAACUUCGUG
rnacentral:rRNA from 1 species